rnacentral:rRNA from 1 species
AACGAACGCUGGCGGCAUGCCUAACACAUGCAAGUUGAACGAGAUCUUCGGGUCUAGUGGCGCACGGGUGCGUAACGCGUGGGAAUCUGCCCUUUGGUUCGGAAUAACAGUUGGAAACGACUGCUAAUACCGGAUGAUGACGAAAGUCCAAAGAUUUAUCGCCAGAGGAUGAGCCCGCGUAGGAUUAGCUAGUUGGUGUGGUAAAGGCGCACCAAGGCGACGAUCCUUAGCUGGUCUGAGAGGAUGAUCAGCCACACUGGGACUGAGACACGGCCCAGACUCCUACGGGAGGCAGCAGUGGGGAAUAUUGGACAAUGGGCGAAAGCCUGAUCCAGCAAUGCCGCGUGAGUGAAGAAGGCCUUAGGGCUGUAAAGCUCUUUUACCCGGGAUGAUAAUGACAGUACCGGGAGAAUAAGCUCCGGCUAAUUCCGUGCCAGCCGCCGCCGUAA